GUUUGUUUCGACAGGACAUAUACUAAAGUUGGAAUGAUACACAGAAGAUUAGCAUGGCCCCUCCACAAAUUUGUAAAGUGUUCCAUAUUUAC
rnacentral:snRNA from 1 species